rnacentral:rRNA from 1 species
GCUAAAAGCUAGCAGCUAGAAGCUGUUGUACGAAGUAACAAACCGACCCCGGUAGUCCACGCCCUAAACGAUGUCAACUGGCUUUUCGGAGUAUCGACCCUCUGAGAGGCGAAGCUAACGCGUUAAGUUGUCCGCCUGGGUAGUACGGCCGCAAGGCUAAAACUCAAAGGAAUAGACGGGGACUUGCACAAGCAGUGGAUUAUGCGGUUUAAUUCGUAGACAAACGAAGAACCUUACCAAGGUUAGAAGACCAAACGAAGAUAGGCAGAAACGUCUAUCGUCCGCAAGGACGGUUGGACAGGUGAUGCAUGGCCGUCGUCAGUUCGUGAUUUGAAUUGUUCCCUUAAGUGGGGUAACGAACGCAACCCUCGUUGCCAGUUACAAGUGUCUGGCGAGACUGCCCCCUCUCCAGUUUUGGAAAUUGGAAAUUUCCAAACUGCAAAACUGGAGAGGGGGAGGAAGGCGAGGAUGACGCCAGGUCAGCAUGUCCCUAGAUAUCUUGGGCCACACGCAUAAUACAAUCGCCGCUACAACGGGUUGCGACGGGGUAACCCCGAGCUAAUCCUAAGAAAAGCGGCGUCAGUUCGGAUUGGGGGCUGCAACUCGACCCCAUGAAGUUGGAAUUGCUAGUAAUCGCGGGUCAGCUAUACCGCGGUGAAUACGUUCUCAAGUCUUGUACUCACAAAUAAGUGCGCCCGGCAGCGCAUAGUUCUAAGUGGUUAAAGUCCACUCCUCU